AGGGAGUGGUAGGGAAACCCAAGAACAAUGAGACUGAGGUCUGCUUCCUUCCCCAAGAGAGGGACCACAUCUCUGUAUUUAUUGGUGGCGAGGGAGCAGGUGGUAAGGAGGGCCAGGCACCAGUCAGGCCUGUAGGGAAGGAAGUCCAAACCAAUUAGCACUUCCUUGCUUAUGCUUCUGGUCUCCACUGCAGCUUCAUGAAUUCACAUUUUAUAUGUGUGUGUUUUAACUCUGCUGCGCCAUGCCCUGUUUCUGCCCCUGUACAGGAUGGAUUCCAAUGUUUUGGCACUGUCCUUAACCCUCCCUAUAAACCUUUCCUAUAAACAGACAAAAAACUGACUCCCAACCAAAUGUCCUUGCACCCACUCCUUUUUGUCCUACUGAAAUAAAUUUCACAUCCACCCACAUGCACAAUCUAAACACUCUUCCCAGAUUCAUGAUUCCUUUCUCAACCUAGUCACUCAGACUUGUACAACAGAGAUGGGUAAACCUGUGGCCUUCUAGAUGGUGCAACAGCUCCCAUCAUCCCUGAUCACUGGCUUUGCUGGCGGAGGCUAAUGAGAGUUGGAGUCCAACAAGAUCUGGGCAACCACAGGGUCCCCAGUUCAGCUUUGCAAGAUUGUCCCUGUGAGUUGCAUAAAUAGCCCGAAUCAGCACAGAGCUUCAAGCCUGUUGGUUUAAAUGAGGGUUACUCUGCUCCCAGUAAAGUGGUGCUGCACAAAAGAGACUAGAGGUGUGAUUGGUGCAUUGUGUCACUCUUCCGCAACCUGGUGCCAGCCAGAUUUAUUGGACUACAACUCCUAUCAUCUCUCAUCACUGACCAUGCUGGGAGUUGGAGCCUAACAGCUUCUAGAGGGACAACUCAAUUUCCUUCCCAGAUCAAAGCCUUUAAGGUUAUCUGGCUACAGUCUUUGAGUGUGGAGUGGACCCUUGUAAAGAAUGACACCGAGCAGGCUAUCUUCAUCAAGGGAAACUACAAUUCCUUAGUCAGAGGAGGUAAGGAAAUCCAGAGCAUUGCUAUCAUCCAAAUUGCCUGCAAGCUUUUGUGCCAGCCUUUCAUGGAUCCUUGCAUGGUAUUGCUAAGUAUAACAGUUUGGUGGGGUUAAGUUGAUCUGAGCUGGCAUUUUGGAAAUCCAACGCAGCUACACAUUUAGCAAGGGGCAGAUGACCUUUGUUGACUUCUUGAUGGUUGAAAAUAUAUCAACUUGCGUUGCCCCUCUCUACAUCUACAAAUGGCCAUGAGUUUUGAAUGGGAAAAGGGAGGCAACACAGACAGGACCCCAGCCCUAAAAGUAUCACUUUUUAGAAGCCAUCCCUCAUUCCAAAUAUGUCUUACCUCUUGAACUGGGAAAUGUACAAAUCAGUUCACCUUUUCUGCUUGGGCUUCACAACCAGAGCUGCAAUUCUCAUAGGCAAAGGAGUUGAUUGCUUGAACACCAGCAAACACUUAUUUGGCUGGACUUCAUCUCCAUUCUGUUUCCCACAAGCGCUGGAAUUCCUGCAAGUGUAUUGGAUUAUAGUAACAGACUGGCUGACAUAAUUAAUUCUUGGUACUGCGUGGAGUGGGGUUGGUGGGCCACAUUUGCAGGGAGAAUGCAAUCCUGACUGGCCUUUUUGCUUGCUUAAAUUUAUCGCAUAGCUAGGUGCAAGAAACAUCAGCCUUCUCCCACAUCUUUGGGACUAUGGGCCUGAGCCCAGCGCAAACAUUAUUAAGGGUGACACUGAUUGGCAGCUGCUGCUUGCAAGAGCUGCAGGCUUUCCUGUCCCUCAGCUGUCCUUCCUACCAAACAUUAUUUAUUUAACAAUCUCUUUGUAUUUCUGGGACAGCGGUAGGAACUGGACAAGGGGAAUGGUUUGGAAUUGGGGAAGUGGGGGGAAGAAAUAAGCGCUGCUUGAAAAGUAUUUAGACAGACAGCUGUCAGUUAAACUUGUUGGAGUUUUCCAAGCCUGCAGGUAACGUUGUCAUGCUUUCCCCCCCUCUAUGGCAUAGGAAGGAAGGAGAAGAUAGCUGGCUAACUGUGCAAUUCUGUCUUUGCAAUUAGGGCCUGGAGAAAAUAGCAAAUGAGAAUAAUGUUGGCCCAAGGGAAUGUCCAGAAAGGGGUCCCAAUAUCUUACCUCUGGACACUUGCGGACAGCAGGCAUAUAGUAGCAGAACAUGAUUGUGUCACUAUUUAUUGCAACCAUAUACCAGGAGCGCAGUUGGUAGCAGAGGGACCGGGGGUGGGGGUGUUAGUGGCAUAGUUGGCAUGAUUGCAUGCUGGUAAUAAGCUAAGCAAAAAUACAUACUCCAACUAUUUCGAGAGCCGCAUGCUGGUGAUGGAUGUGGCCAGAAAUGGAAGAGUGCACAGGUCAUCUGAGGAGGGGACUUGUUGUCUUUUCCUUCAUCAACAAUUUAUUGUUCUGAUGACAGGAGGGGUCGAUUUGAAUCCCCAUCAGGGUGCUGGACUGAUCUAGUGUCAUGUCUAGUUUAAUGUGUGUCUGUUUUCCUUUCCCCCAGUGCUGUCAACAUCAGUGGUGUCUUGUGAGAGGCAUGAAAAUCUGUAGGGGAGCACAGAUCAGGAUUGUGGGCUGGAGGCUAGUGGUCACCCCUGAAGUAUAUUUUGCAGCAGGCUCCAUCUUGGGGGUUCCCUUCUUGUGUGUGAGUGCAGGCAGAAUGCCUCUCCUGAUAGGGUGCCAGCUUUAGUAAUUUUAUUAAAAUACAGUCAUACCUCAGGUUACAGACGCUUCAGCUUGCGUGUUUUUGUGUUACGGAGGCAUCGAAACCCGGAAGUACUGGAAUGGGUUACUUCCAGGUUUCGGUGCUCGUGCAUGCACAGAAGUGCUAAAUUGCGCUUUGCACAUGCGCAGAAGCUCUGAAUCGCAACCCCCGUGUGCGCAGACAUGGCGUUGCGGGUGCUGCGGGUUGCGAACAUGCCUCCCGCAUGGAUCACGUUCGCAACCCGAGUGUCCACUGUAAUUAACUUUUUAAAAAGUGUCUGCUUUAAUUGGGAAUGGCUUAAAAAAUUACUUUAAAAGACUUUUAAUCAAUUAAUCUAAAAUUUUAAUUGAUUGAGGAGUUCAGCCCUCAUUAAUUAUUUUUGGGUGUUUUAGCUGCUGUGUUGCAGUAGCUAAAAAGGCUGAGCUACGUGCCAAUCAGGUGGUCCCCUGUUUGAUUCUCAUUGCAGACACGAACUCAUUAGGUAGCUUUGGUCAAGCACCUCUCUCUCAGCCCCCUCCCCUCCUCUUCCAAUUAUGGAUUGUUGGGAAUAACACUACAAAAAUACCUUGUUGUAAGGAUUGCAUGUGAAGUGGUUUGGAAACUUGAAAGUGCUAUGCAAACAUUAUGUAUUAUCAUCACCGCGGUGCAUCUUUUAAGUGGUGCUUUAUCAAUUAUAAUCUUCUGUGAAAGUGGUGCAUGGAUUUCUUAAGCAAACAAACUUUUCCUCUCACCUUUCCCACAACCUGUUAGUUGUAGUAGUCUUGUGGCUGGGAGCGCCCAUGGUUUCUGAUGCUCAGGGACUGGGAGCCAGGAAGGAACUAAAUAAGGGGAGGAGGCUGCAGGCAGCCUGUAGGGGGCACAUUAGGUUGCAUGAAACAGAGCGAACAUGCCUUCGUAAAUGUAUCCACUCUGACCGUCGCGUACUGAGGGAUUUAGGCAGUUGGUACAUAGUGGAGGACAUGCUCUUUCACUUCUCUUCUUUCCUAUCCUGUAGAUGUUAGACUAAUUAUUUUAAUGAGGCACUCUGCAUGCCUCCUCUGGCAACUCUGCCUGGGCACACACAGCCACUGAGGCUCUUAAGCAGCUUAUUAGCAGUGCUAUGAAAGGCCCGGAGGAAGCUAAACUUCCAACAGAGUCUGACAAAGCUGCUAUAUGGGGGGGGCCAGUGUCUGUCAAGCCGUCCCUCCAAGUUCCAGCUCACAGGCCAGCCCUGUCAGUAUGCAUCACGAAUACCAGGUGCCCUGCCCAAAAGGGGUGCUGUGGGGGCUGGUAGGCUGCUGUACGUAAAGCAGCCGAAUCUUGGCUUUGGGAGAAAUUGCUCCGCAUUUAGACUCCUUGUGGCUUAGCUGCUUCUCCUCCUCCUUAAUGGCAUUGCCAGAUAGGGCAAAAGAUGCUCAUGUGCUUUUCUCCCCACCCCAUCCCUUUAAUUACCUCUGGUUUCUUCCUUCCACCAAACAUCUAGAAGCAAAAGGGGCCUUUGUUGAGAGCCCUCCAGGGCAUGGUUUUAGUAGCUGCCACGUAAUCCCCAGAAAUCUCAGGCAAACCCAACUUUUGCUGGGUUGCUCCACCAGCUGACUUCGCCUCGCAAAUGCUAAGGGAUUUGAAAUUACCUUCCCCCCCCUACACAAGGGUAAUUGACGCACAUACAUAUCACUGUGACAUUUGCAGUGGAUUCAGCUGCACAUUCCUGAAUUCUCACUGCCCACAUUGGCUGGUGGAGCAGUCUAUUUGUUAUGUGGAACAAAUUUGUGCAGCAUUUUCCUACUUGGGUACUGUUUAUGUGUAGGAACCAUGUGUAAGCUCUGUUUAAAGAAAUAUCCCAUUUGGAGCAUGUUGUGUCCCUUCAGGUGUCUUGCUGUAUGCGUCCCUGAGGUCUUGUCAUUUUCUUACCUAUUUCUACCUGUCUUUGAGCCAUAGCUCACCUUUCUUCCCUCCCUCCUGGCAGCGCUAUUGUAGUUAGUUCCUGUGCCCCGCCUGUUGUGAAUUGGUGCUCCCUGGCCUCCUAAAUUUAAUCCGGCUGAUAUUUUAAUAAAUCAUAGAGAACAGCACUGAAGGUCUUUGUAUAUAUCACUCUUGUGGCCCCCUGAAGGCUUCCAGCUCGAAUGAUGGAUACAGCGGAAAUGCUGGAAUUGUAUCCGUGCAUCAGAUCUUCCUCUCCUCUUCUACUAGGAAGUUGGGGGGGGGUGCGAGGCACGAUUAGAAGACAGGCCGGGUGUUGGUGAGAGAUUCCUCUACUUGCUAUUUGACAACACAGUCAUUUCUGGGACAACAGGGCCUAAUGAAACUAGAUUACAUGGUUUCACUUUGACAGAUCGUUUUGAAAAAUGUGGCAUUUUCAUUCUGUUUCUCUUAUUUAUCAUUAUUCGGGACUGGCUGCCGUGGGCGGGAGAGCACCCUCUCCAUUGCCAGCUACGGAAUCUCUCAGCUGCAUGCAGGAAGUGUUGGUGAUUUGGGGGGAGGGGGUCGAUUAGGGCUAGCCUCUGGGGUGUUUCCAUUCACUCCAGGGCAAAAAGGGAAAUGACUGUUGGCUUGUGAGAUGCCAGGCUGAAAAGGCAUGGUGUGGCUUGCCAUCUUCUGGCACAGAGAAGGAAGGGCUGUAUCUAGCUGUUGGCACACCUGAACCUCUUAAACCCCUUCAGCCACAGGUAAAAAACUAGUGGCCCAGGAUUCGUUAUUUGUAGCCCCCAACAUUUCCGGAAGAUGCACCAUUUUUUCAUCCCAUCAGAGCUCUUCUUGUUAUUUUCCUCCUUAUUUUUCAACGUGUUUCUUCUCCUGUUUCUGUGUAGUUUUAGAACAAUCAGAAACACACUAGAAUCAGAAAGGAAUUACUUUCCUUUGCUUUCUUGAAUAGUAGCUGUAUUGGUCUGUUGUGUUGGAACUUGACAUAUAUAUUUCAGCAGAGUGCAGAAAUAGAAAGUAUAGUAAGGCUGCUGGUUGAAAGAAUAAAGAAGGUUUAUUACUCCUGGCAAAUUAAGCCAUCCUGAGUACAAGCUUACAUGUGGCUAUCAUGGAUUCAUGAGGUUUUCACAAGGAAGGUCCAGCACUACCUGACAUGGAGAAUAAGCAGGACAGAAGUAAAGCUUGAGAGAAAAACAAUCUACAAGAUGGAAUUGGCAAGGGAAUCAAACGUUACGUCCGGUGUACCCCUCCCUAGCCGUGUUCAGGUAACUUAUUGCAAGCAGUAUUGCUUUACUCCUAACAAGUUGUACUGGAAAAACAACAGCACCCCUGCAUACUUAUUUGAGACUGAUACCAACAGACACAUUUGGGGUUUACAUUUGAGUUGACCUGCAUAAGCCUAGGAAUUCUAUUUGGAGUUAGCCAUAGUGAAAAUUGAAGUAGGGCAGUCUUUAUUCCAGAUUAGCUGCAUCAUCCGUACAUCAUCAGUUCUGCUCACCACUGGCAUCCUGUGAUGCCCUAUAGGUUGCCCCUGAUGGAAUGUGACCCGCAGCUGAAAAAGGUAUCCCACCCAUGACUUGGCCAUGGUUGGUUGACUUUGGGAAUGGGCACUGCCCAAAGAAUGUAGGAAACGAGUGGGGAGAGCCAGAUUGGAGCCCAGGGACUGAAGAGACUUCCAUAAAGUCUCCUUCUCUGUGUCAUUUUCAGUUGAGCCGCAGUCUUCCUAGGAGUGAAACUGACCCGGAAUGCUUGGAACAGGAAACAUGCUGGAGCCUGGUCCAAAUUGAAAAGGAUUAUUUAAAGGCAUUGUUAGCUCACCAGCCAAAUAGAGGGCUUUAAGGUGAUUACCAGAGUCUGUAUCAAUUUGAAGCCUUCCUUGUUUGUGUGCUAAUUGUGAUGUGCCUCUUGAAUUGUGUUCCUUGCACCAGAAGCAUCUGUAGACAGGUGUAUGUAGGAUUCUACCAUGCUGCAAUAUGAGGAGGCUCAGGCUUUCCUCCCUUAGUGCAUGAUGCUGUAAGAAUGUAAAUUGAUAGCAUUUCAUUCAAUUGAACAUAGUGGCACUUGGCUAUAGGCAUGCAAUUUCUUUGCAUCUCUUAUCCUGUACCUGUCUUCUUGAUUCAAAGCAUUGUUUGCUGCUU